AACGUAGGAGGCGAGCGUUAUCCGGAUUUACUGGGCGUAAAGCGCGUGCAGGCGGAUUGGAGAGUUGGAUGUGAAAGCUCCCGGCUUAACUGGGAGAGGUCGUUCAAUACUUCCAGUCUUGAGUGCAGUAGAGGGAAGUGGAAUUCCGGGUGUAGUGGUGAAAUGCGUAGAUAUCCGGAGGAACACCAGUGGCGAAAGCGGCUUCCUGGACUGUAACUGACGCUCAGACGCGAAAGCUAGGGUAGCAAACGGGAUUAGAGACCCCGGUAGUCCUAGCUGUAAACGAUGUAGACUUGGCGUAGGAGGGUUUAAAUCCUUCUGUGCCGCAGCAAACGCGAUAAGUCUACCGCCUGGGGACUACGGCCGCAAGGUUAAA
rnacentral:rRNA from 1 species